rnacentral:rRNA from 1 species
CGGGUGCGUAACACGUGGGCAAUCUGCCCUUCGAUGGGGAAUAACCUCGCGAAAGCGAGGCUAAUUCCGCAUAACAUUCCGAAAAUUACGGUUUUUGGACUCAAAGGCGUAAGCCGUCGAAGGAGGAGCCCGCGCACGAUUAGCUAGUUGGUGAGGUAACGGCUCACCAAGGCUAUGAUCGUUAGCUGGUCUGAGAGGAUGGCCAGCCACACUGGAACUGAGACACGGUCCAG